rnacentral:rRNA from 1 species
CGAACGCUGGCGGCGUGCCUAAUACAUGCAAGUCGAGCGAACAGAUAAGGAGCUUGCUCCUUUGACGUUAGCGGCGGACGGGUGAGUAACACGUGGAUAACCUACCUAUAAGACUGGGAUAACUUCGGGAAACCGGAGCUAAUACCGGAUAAGAUUUUGAACCGCAUGGUUCAAUAGUGAAAGACGGCCUUGCUGUCACUUAUAGAUGGAUCCGCGCCGUAUUAGCUAGUUGGUAAGGUAACGGCUUACCAAGGCAACGAUACGUAGCCGACCUGAGAGGGUGAUCGGCCACACUGGAACUGAGACACGGUCCAGACUCCUACGGG